AAUGAACGCUGGCGGCGCGCCUAAUACAUGCAAGUCGAGCGAGAAGACGUAGCAAUACGUUUGUAAAGCGGCGAACGGGUGAGGAAUACAUGGGUAACCUACCCUCGAGUGGGGAAUAACUAGCCGAAAGGUUAGCUAAUACCGCGUACGCUUCUUGGACUUCGGUUCAGGGAGGAAAGCGAUACCGUGGGUAUCGCGCUCUUGGAUGGGCUCAUGUCCUAUCAGCUUGUUGGUGAGGUAACGGCUCACCAAGGCUUCGACGGGUAGCUGGUCUGAGAGGACGAUCAGCCACACUGGCACUGCGACACGGGCCAGACUCCUACGGGAGGCAGCAGUAAGGAAUAUUGCGCAAUGGGCGAAAGCCUGACGCAGCGACGCCGCGUGGGGGAUGAAGGUCUUCGGAUUGUAAACCCCUUUCGGGAGGGAAGAUGGAACGAGCAAUCGUUCGGACGGUACCUCCAGAAGCAGCCACGGCUAACUUCGUGCCAGCAGCCGCCGU
rnacentral:rRNA from 1 species